UCCAUAAUUUAUUCUGCGGGUCCUCUCUUUCCCGGAAAUUCACCUUCGCUUUCCCCCGCGUUUCUUGACGUUUUCUUCGCCUCGAGAGCAACCACAGAGCCAAAAAUCACCUCUCCUUGAGAAGCCUUAGUCGAUCUUCUUUCUCGGAAAUUCACCUUCGUCGCCCCCGCGUUUCUUGAUGUUUUCUUCGUAUUGAGAGCAAUCACAGAGCCAAACCUCUUCUAGAAAAGCAUGAUCGGCCACAAAUUGGACUCCAUCAAGACGUCGCUUUAAUCACCAUCUGAACUUUGACAUGCCGGGCUGGCUAUAAGUAGGUAAUCGACUUGACUUGGAAAUUUAAUUAACUUCUUAGUAUAUAUAAAUAUAUCAACAAACAUCGAGGCACAAGAAAGAGACUUGAACAUAUAAAAAUUCAUUGUGCUUGUUUGAUGGUAGAGUCAGAGUGAGUGAGUAAGCAAUUAAGGAGAUUGCAGUGUGAGAUCUGGAGAAGCUUGAGAUGAGCUUUGUGUUUUUUUUUUGUAGAGAAGAUGAUGUGAGAUUAGCCUUAAAGAUGAGCUUUGUGUUUUUGCAGUUUGCCAUUUGUACCGCUUGCAAAUAAUUUUAAAAUAUUUGUUUCUUCUUUACAUUUUUUUAUAAGUAUAAUUUGUCUUUGACGGACACGAAAGAAAAUUAAUUAUAGUGUUGUCAAGUUUUAAAUAGAUGACUUCUUUGGGUGACAUGACAUUUCCAAAUAUUUAGCUCAUCUAGUCCCACAACUAGUUUUCUCCACAAGGAUCAGGAGAGGCUCCAAUCAAAGGGUAGAGAGCGAGGCUUUCUCUUAAGAUAAUUCUGUAUAUCUUGACAUUUAGCUCGACUAGUCCUUACAGAUGCAAAUAUAUCGUCCUGUCCAUGUGCAUUGAAUGUGGCUCCGCGCACAUAGCAGAAAGCGUAAGCUCAAAUGCUAUGCUUUGGAAAUUAACUUCAUGGCAUCAUGUGUCCAGGCUCUGAAUAAGGGGAAAAUGGGUUUUAGACUUCUUAGAGAUAUAACAAAAUCUAGAAUUGGCAAUUUGAGUUCACCUGUUAAAAUUAUGUAUUGAUUGUGGCAAUAAAAGUUAUAUAUAUAUAUA